rnacentral:rRNA from 1 species
CCUACGGGAGGCAGCAGUGGGGAAUCUUGCGCAAUGGGCGAAAGCCUGACGCAGCAACGCCGCGUGCGGGAUGAAGGCCUUCGGGCUGUAAACCGCUUUCAGCAGGAACGAAAAUGACGGUACCUGCAGAAGAAGGAGCGGCCAACUACGUGCCAGCAGCCGCGGUGACACGUAGGCUCCAAGCGUUGUCCGGAUUUAUUGGGCGUAAAGAGCUCGUAGGCGGUCUAAUAAGUCGGGUGUGAAAACUCUGGGCUCAACCCGGAGACGCCAUCCGAUACUGUUAUGACUUGAGUUCAGGAGGGGAGCGGGGAAUUCCUAGUGUAGCGGUGAAAUGCGCAGAUAUUAGGAGGAACACCGGUGGCGAAGGCGCCGCUCUGGACUGAAACUGACGCUGAGGAGCGAAAGCAUGGGUAGCAAACAGGAUUAGAUACCCUAGGUAGUCCAUGCCGUAAACGGUGGGCACUAGGUGUGGGUUUCACUACGAAAUCCGCGCCGUCGCUAACGCAUAAGUGCCCGCCUGGGGAGUCGGUCGCAAGACAAACUCAAAUGAAUUGACGGUUNUUGAGAGNGCGACGCGACGACGAGGGAGAG